rnacentral:rRNA from 1 species
CUUAGGACCGUUAUAGUUACGGCCGCCGUUUACUGGGGCUUCAAUUCGCACCUUCGCUUACGCUAAGCGCUCCUCUUAACCUUCCAGCACCGGGCAGGCGUCAGCCCCUAUACUUCGCCUUACGGCUUCGCAGAGACCUGUGUUUUUGCUAAACAGUCGCCUGGGCCUAUUCACUGCGGCUCUCUCGGGCUUGCACCCUAACAGAGCACCCCUUCUCCCGAAGUUACGGGGUCAUUUUGCCGAGUUCCUUAACGAGAGUUCUCUCGAUCACCUUAGGAUUCUCUCCUCGCCUACCUGUGUCGGUU